CCUACGGGUGGCAGCAGUGGGGGAUAUUGCACAAUGGGGGGAACCCUGAUGCAGCGACGCCGCGUGGGUGAAGAAGCGUCUCGGCGCGUAAAGCCCUGUUAGCAGGGAAGAAAAUGACGGUACCUGAAGAAGAAGCACCGGCUAACUACGUGCCAGCAGCCGCGGUAAUACGGAGGGGGCAAGCGUUAUCCGGAUUCACUGGGGGUAAAGGGGGCGCAGGCGGGGAUGCAAGGCAGGAGUGAAAGCCCGGGGCCCAACCCCGGGACUGCAAUUGGAACUGGGUGGCUGGAGUGCAGGAGGGGCAGGCGGGAUUCCUGGGGGUGGGGUGAAAAGC
rnacentral:rRNA from 1 species